rnacentral:rRNA from 1 species
UGGGGAAUCUUGCGCAAUGGGCGAAAGCCUGACGCAGCCAUGCCGCGUGAAUGAUGAAGGUCUUAGGAUUGUAAAAUUCUUUCAGCGGGGACGAUAAUGACGGUACCCGCAGAAGAAGCCCCGGCUAACUUCGUGCCAGCAGCCGCGGUAAUACGAAGGGGGCUAGCGUUGCUCGGAUUUACUGGGCGUAAAGGGCGCGUAGGCGGAUUGACAAGUUGGGGGUGAAAGCCCGGGGCUCAACCUCGGAAUUGCCUUCAAAACUGUCAGUCUUGAGUUCGGGAGAGGUGAGUGGAACUCCGAGUGUAGAGGUGAAAUUCGUAGAUAUUCGGAAGAACACCAGUGGCGAAGGCGACUCACUGGCCCGAUACUGACGCUGAGGCGCGAAAGCGUGGGGAGCAAACAGGAUUAGAUACCCGUGGUAGUCCACGCUGUAAACGAUGAGUGCUAGUUGUCGGCAGGCAUGCCUGUCGGUGACGCAGCUAACGCAUUAAGCACUCCGCCUGGGGGAGUACGGUCGCAAGAUUAAAACUU